UUUGUCCUGGCACUACAGUCUCUGAGCCUGGCUCUCCCUCUCUUACAUCAUACCCUCUGCUUGUAGAGCAGCACAAAAGGCCUCUGACUGGGAGAGGGAGAAACAGAAGUUAGCCACUGGCAGCACACCAGCCCUUCUUACCACCCCACCCCUUCAGGCUGAGGAAUUAAUGGUUCCAUGACUUUAAAGACCAGAAGAGCUUGCACCCAAGGAGCAAAGAUGGGACCCUGGCUCAGCACUGCCCACUUGCCACCAUUUCCUCUCUUCAGAGGGCGAAGAGCAGUCAGUCAGCCUGGGAAGACAUCCGCCCGAAGUGUGCAGCUGCUGUUUCAGGACUGUGCAGGACCAUGCCAACUGGGCACAGGCCACCAGAACCUUUAACUGCAGCUUGGUUGGCUCUGAAGGCUCCAUCCCUCAGAGCUUCUGUGCUUCUAGCCCACUGGAGCACCUGAGUGACCCAGCACGCCCUGGGUGUUUCUGCGGGGUUGUUUUUAAAUAGUGUCUAGUCAUGUAAGCAGUCCUUGAAUUCGGCCUUCACUGGCGGCACCACGCCUCCCUCCAACAGCUUUAAGGAUCCCAGCUGUCUACGUUCUGUGAUUUAUCUCUCUUUCUAAAGUUUAUAUCAUCAGUGGGAUUCAAAAGGGCUUCCUGGAUCUAGUAGCUUCCUAAAACUCGGCAAGAAACUAAUUAAUAAUCUUACAUUUUAAAAGAACCAAGGGGGCUGGGGAUUUAGCUCAGUGGUAGAGUGCUUACCUAGCAAGCGCAAGGCCCUGGGUUCGGUCUCCAGCUCCAAAAAAAAAGAAAAGAAAAAAUAAAUAAAAAGAACCAAGGAUAUUAAUAAGUAAUUCAUACAGAAAGGGAACAUGAGUGACUUGACUGGUUUUCUGGGUGUGUGUGUGUGUGUGUGUGUGUGUGUGUGUGUGUGUGUGUGUCUAGGCACAUGUGAAGUCAGAGGACAAUUUUGGGAGUCAGUCCUCUCCUUCCACUGUGGAUUCCAGGACUUGAACUCAGGUUAUCAGGCCUGCACAGUAAACGCUGUAACUACUGAGUCAUCUAACUGGCCCCUUUUGUUUGUCUUUCAGACAGGCUGUCAUGAUGAAGCCCAGCCCAGGCUGAUGUGGAACCUCCUGCCUCCGCUCCCUGAGUGCUGAGAUUAGACAGGCAUGGGCACCUCUGCCUUUAGCCUGCUUCUUAUUCACUUACUUUACACUGGUGCCGAGGGUUCGAAUCCAGGUUCCAUGCUUGUGCAGAGGGCACUGCUACCACUGCAAUGUCUCAUCCAGCUCAAAUUACUUUUAAAAAAAAAUACGAUUAUGCGUAUGGAUAUUUUGCUUGCACAUAUGUAUGGGCACUGCAUGUGUGUGGCGGUCACAGAAGUCAGGUGUCAGAACAAAUGGAAUUACAGAUGAUCGUGAGCUGCUACGUAGGUGUCAAGAGCAGUAAACAGUUUCAACCACUGAGCCCCACAACUUUCCCUUUGGCAGUCUACGUACUCACGAGAGACAUGCAAACAAAAAACUCCCACCAUGAGUUGCCAGCAGGAAAGUCUGGGAGGGGCCAGGGCACUGCUUACCACAUGCUGACCAACUCUCACAGUCUCCAUUAUGGUCCCAGAGCUCAAUACCCACAAUGCCUCACCAGUCUUGCCAGGGAGAACAGCCACACCCAGAUUACUGCCACAGUGGCUGUAACUGCUAAGGACGGCAAAGAGCCAAACCAAAAUUCUAUGAAAGUUUCCAAAAAUGCUUGUUUUUUUUUUUUUUUUAAAAGGGGACACACAGGAACAAAGGCAGAGAGGAUGAGGGGAGGGGGCAGGCAGCUGAGGUGGAUGCCAUGCUGUGUACUCUCCUGUACCUUCUGAAUUCACAACCAUGUAAAUACAUUAUUCAGAGAAACAAAAUACAAAUGACUGUAGCUACUGAAGUCUUGGGUGAGAUCUGCUUCUGGUCUAGCUCCAACUGACUGAGCUACUAGGCUGUCUCCUGAAGUGUGUCCUACUCUACAGAAGCUGGCAGAGACUGUGACAGUCCCAGACCAGAUGAAGCAAGUUGAGCCAGCUCUGUAAGGGUACAGGCAUAGGCUGUCCCGGUCUGCACUUCCUUACUCUGCAUAUAGGUGGUGACAGACGGUUGCUCUCUCUGAGCGGUGGUACCCUGAGAGUGGAGGGCACAGCCAAGGAUCAGGCAGGCACAGGAAGUGACGUAAAAUAGAAACAGACUUUAUUUCUCUGGAAGAAGCAGAUAUCCAUGGCUGGGACAGCAGCUUUGGCAACAGAGGCGAUGGGAACACAUCAAAUGGACACAGGGGAGGAACAGGCAUCAAACAGGACAAGUACUGGUGCCGCUGGGGUCUCCCUCCACACCCGGGGCCUGGGGCCCUGGUCCCUGCCAGAGAAGAUCCUGGCGCCUCUUCUGUUUCUGAGCCACUUCAGGCUGUUUACAGCUACAAGAUCUAAGACCAGCCAAGCCCGAGUUCACAGUGAAGCCACAGGUCACAUUCUGUCCAACACUCCACAUUCC